rnacentral:rRNA from 1 species
UGAAGGACGUGGCACGCUGCGUUAAGUUCCGGGGAGUUGCGAGCAGACUUUGAUCCGGAAAUAUCCGAAUGGGGAAACCCACCUUUACAGACCCUGGCGGUUGUUCGUCUGAGUGAUCAGGCGGCCAAUCACCAGUGUUUGUGAAAGGUAUCUUAUUCUGAAUACAUAGGGAUAAGAAGCGAACUCGGGGAACUGAAACAUCUAAGUACCCGAAGGAAAGGACAUCAAUUGAGACUUCCCUAGUAGCGGCGAGCGAACGGGAACCAGGCCAGUGUCUCUUCUUGAGUCAGCGGAACGAUCUGGAAAGUUCGGCCAUAGCGGGUGAUAGCCCCGUACGUUAAAGCGAUUGAAGAGACCUCGAGUAGGGCGGGACACGUGAAAUCCUGUCUGAACAUGGGGGGACCACCCUCCAAGCCUAAGUACUCCUUGCCGACCGAUAGCGAACCAGUACCGUGAGGGAAAGGUGAAAAGCACCCCGACGAGGGGAGUGAAACAGACCCUGAAACCGGACGCCUACAAGCAGUCGGAGCCGCCUUGCGCGGUGACGGCGUACCUUUUGUAUAAUGGGUCAGCGACUUUGUCUCUCGAGCAAGCUUAAGCCGAUAGGUGUAGGCGCAGCGAAAGCGAGUCUGAAUAGGGCGACGAGUUCGAGGGAUAAGACCCGAAACCGAGUGAUCUAGCCAUGUGCAGGUUGAAGGUGCGGUAACACGCACUGGAGGACCGAACCCACGUCUGUUGAAAAAGACGGGGAUGACGUGUGGCUAGGGGUGAAAGGCCAAUCAAACUCGGAGAUAGCUGGUUCUCCGCGAAAUCUAUUUAGGUAGAGCGUCUCGUAUUACCCUCGGGGGUAGAGCACUGGAUGGGCUAGGGGGUCCCAACGACUUACCAAACCUAACCAAACUCCGAAUACCGAGGAGUAGAGCGAGGCAGACACACUGCGGGUGCUAAGGUCCGUAGUGGAGAGGGAAACAGCCCUGACCGCCAGCUAAGGUCCCUAAGUUAUCACUAAGUGGGAAACGAUGUGGGAGUGCUUAGACAACCAGGAGGUUGGCUUAGAAGCAGCCAUCCUUUAAAGAAAGCGUAACAGCUCACUGGUCAAGCGCUCCUGCGCGGAAAAUGUAACGGGGCUUAAGUGAUACACCGAAGCUGCGGACUCGAAAGAGUGGUAGCGGAGCGUUCUGUAAGUCUGUGAAGGUGACCUGCGAGGGUUGCUGGAGAUAUCAGAAGUGAGAAUGCUGACAUGAGUAGCGAUAAAGAGGGUGAGAGGCCCUCUCGCCGAAAGUCCAAGGGUUCCUGCGCAAUGCUAAUCAGCGCAGGGUAAGCCGGCCCCUAAGGCGAGGCCGAAAGGCGUAGUCGAUGGGAACCAGGUUAAUAUUCCUGGGCCAGCGGGUAGUGACGGAUUGCGGACGUUGUACACUCUUACUGGAUUGAGUGUGCAGCCAAGCCGUCCCUGGAAAUAGCUCCCGCAUUAGACCGUACCCCAAACCGACACAGGUGGACUGGUAGAGCAUACCAAGGCGCUUGAGAGAACUCUGUUGAAGGAACUCGGCAAAUUACUCCCGUAAGUUCGCGAGAAGGGAGCCUGGCAUCAGGCAACUGGUGUCCAGGGGCACAGACCAGGGGGUGGCGACUGUUUAUUAAAAACACAGGGCUCUGCGAAGUCGCAAGACGACGUAUAGGGUCUGACGCCUGCCCGGUGCCGGAAGGUUAAAAGGAGGGGUGAGAGCUCCGAAUUGAAGCCCCGGUAAACGGCGGCCGUAACUAUAACGGUCCUAAGGUAGCGAAAUUCCUUGUCGGGUAAGUUCCGACCUGCACGAAUGGCGUAACGACUUCCCCACUGUCUCCAACAGAGACUCAGCGAAAUUGAAUUCUCCGUGAAGAUGCGGAGUUCCCGCGGUCAGACGGAAAGACCCCGUGCACCUUUACUACAACUUCGCAGUGGCGUUAGUGGCGAUAUGUGUAGGAUAGGCGGGAGGCUUUGAAACCGGAGCGCCAGUUCCGGUGGAGCCAUCCUUGAAAUACCGCCCUUAUCCUCAUUGACGUCUAACCGCGGUCCAUGAACCUGGAUCCGGGACCCUGCGUGGUGGGUAGUUUGACUGGGGCGGUCGCCUCCCAAAGAGUAACGGAGGCGCGCGAAGGUUGGCUCAGAGCGGUCGGAAAUCGCUCGUUGAGUGCAAUGGCAUAAGCCAGCCUGACUGUGAGACUGACAGGUCGAACAGAGUCGAAAGACGGCCAUAGUGAUCCGGUGGUCCCGCGUGGAAGGGCCAUCGCUCAACGGAUAAAAGGUACGCCGGGGAUAACAGGCUGAUGAUGCCCAAGAGUCCAUAUCGACGGCAUUGUUUGGCACCUCGAUGUCGGCUCAUCGCAUCCUGGGGCUGGAGCAGGUCCCAAGGGUUUGGCUGUUCGCCAAUUAAAGCGGUACGUGAGCUGGGUUUAGAACGUCGUGAGACAGUUCGGUCCCUAUCUGCCGUGGGUGUUGGAUACUUGAGAGGAGCUGUCCCUAGUACGAGAGGACCGGGAUGGACGCACCUCUGGUGGACCUGUUGUUGCGCCAGCAGCAUAGCAGGGUAGCUAAGUGCGGAAAGGAUAACCGCUGAAAGCAUCUAAGCGGGAAGCCCCCCUCAAAACCAGGUAUCCCUAUCAGAGCCGUGGAAGACCACCACGUUGAUAGGCUGGAAGUGGAAGCGCAGCAAUGCGUGAAGCGGACCAGUACUAAUUGCUCGAUCGGCUUGAUCC